GCUACCGAGACAGAGAACUCACAUGGGUGCCCACCCAAGCAGGUCUGUGACAGAGAGAAUGACGCCUGCAGUGCUUUCCAAGUGCCAUUGCCAGUCAUGUGACAGCAGAGUGUCCCAGCAAGUGUCUGGUGGAGGUCCUGAUUGCCAUAAGCAGCCUCACGUCUCCGCUGCUGUUCACAGCCUCUGGAUAUCUGUCAUUCAGCAUCAUGAGAAUCGUGGAGAUGUUUAAAGAUUACCCGCCAGCCAUAAAACCAUCCUACGACGUGCUCCUGCUGCUGCUGCUGCUGGUGCUUCUGCUGCAGGCCGGCCUCAACACGGGCACCGCCAUCCAGUGUGUGCGCUUCAAGGUCAGCGCAAGGCUGCAGGGCUCAUCCUGGGACACCCAGAGCGGCCCGCAGGAGCGCCUGGCUGGGGAGGUGGCCAGGAGCCCCCUGAAGGAGUUUGACAAGGAGAAAGCCUGGAGAGCCGUCGUGGUGCAAAUGGCCCAGUGACCACCAGACGCAGAAACCGGGUGGCAGCUCCCAGCCUGGCCCCAAGCACGGAAACGCACAACUCCUAAUCGCCCCGAGCUACUGCUUCUAACACCUCUUUUCCCUUGUGUGAGGGCAAACCA
rnacentral:sRNA from 1 species